GACGAACGCUGGCGGCGUGCCUAAUACAUGCCAGUAGAACGCUGAAGGAGGAGCUUGCUUCUCUGGAUGAGUUGCGAACGGGUGAGUAACGCGUAGGUAACCUGCCUGGUAGCGGGGGAUAACUAUUGGAAACGAUAGCUAAUACCGCAUAACAGUAGAUAUCGCAUGAUAUCUACUUGAAAGGUGCAAUUGCAUCACUACCAGAUGGACCUGCGUUGUAUUAGCUAGUUGGUGAGGUAACGGCUCACCAAGGCGACGAUAAAUAGCCGACCUGAGAGGGUGAUCGGCCACACUGGGACUGAGACACGGCCCAGACUCCUACGGGAGGCAGCAGUAGGGAAUCUUCGGAAAUGGACGGAAGUCUGACCGAGCAACGCCGCGUGAGUGAAGAAGGGUUUCGGAUCGUAAAGAUCUGUUGUAAGAGAAGAAAGAGUGUGAGAGUGGAAAGUUCACACUGUGACGGUAUCUUAACAGAAAGGGACGGCUAACUACGUG
rnacentral:rRNA from 1 species